AGUGAACGCUGGCGGCAGGCCUAACACAUGCAAGUCGAACGGAUCCAUCGGGAUUAUUGUCGGAUGGGUGAGUAACACGUGGGAACAUGCCCUUGUGUUUGGAACAACUCAGGGAAACUUGUGCUAAUACGGGAUGUGCCCUUCGGGGGGAAGAUUUAUUGCAAUUGGAGGGUCCGGCGUCUGAUUAGCUUGUGGGUAUGGUAACGGCCCACCACGGCGACGAUCAGUAGCUGGUUUGAGAGGAUGAUCCGCCACACUGGGAGUGGGACACGGCCCGGAAUCCUACGGGAGGGAGGAGUGGCGGAUCUUGCGAAGCGGGGGAAGGGAUGACGCAGCCAUGAUGCGUGAAUGAUGAAGGUCGUAGGAAAGUAAAAUUCUUUCAGCGGGGACGGUAUUGACGGUACCCGCAGAAGAAGCUCCGGCUAACUUCGUG
rnacentral:rRNA from 1 species